AUGGAGAGUUCUUCCAUUGGUGGUGAAUCAUCCUCAUCACCUUUGGCCUCUUCCGAAGAGAAGGAGAUCAGCAAAGAAGAAGAAGAGGUGGAGAGUGGAGCUUUGGGGUGUUUAGAUUGCCUAGAGGAGUCCCUUCCUGUCAAUUCAUGGCUUUCUUAUCAAUUUCCACAGGAGAGGAUUAUCUUUGUUCUUCUCAGGAAAAUCCAAAUCAUUCACCAGUUU